GCUGGGCAUGUGGUGCAUGCCUGUAGUCCCAGAUACUUACUUGGGAGGCUGAAGUGGGAGGAUAACUUGAAUCCAGGAGUUUGGGACCAGCUAGGCAACUAGCAAGACUCCAUCUCAGAAAACAAAGCAAAUGAAGCCUUUCUUCCAUGCUUAGCUUCUACCUUCU
rnacentral:sRNA from 1 species